AGAGUUUGAUCCUGGCUCAGAAUGAACGCUGGCGGCGUGCUUAACACAUGCAAGUCGAACGGUAACAGGAGGAAGCUUGCUUCUUUGCUGACGAGUGGCGCACGGGUGAGUAAUGCAUAGGUAACGUGCCCCUUAGUCUGGGAUAGCCACUGGAAACGGUGAUUAAUACUGGAUACUCCUUCUCUCUUAAUGAGAGUUGGGAAACUUUUUGGCUAAGGGAUCGGCCUAUGUUGUAUCAGGUAGUUGGUGAGGUAAUGGCUCACCAAGCCUAUGACACAUAGCGGGUCUGAGAGGAUGAUCCGCCACACUGGUACUGAGACACGGACCAGACUCCUACGGGAGGCAGCAGUGGGGAAUAUUGCACAAUGGACGGAAGUCUGAUGCAGCAACGCCGCGUGGAGGAUGACACAUUUCGGUGCGUAAACUCCUUUUAUAUGAGAAGAUAAUGACGGUAUCAUAUGAAUAAGCACCGCUAACU
rnacentral:rRNA from 1 species